ACAUAAACGUAGUAGAAAACUGCAGCUAUCAAUAUCGAACUAUCGGGAAAGAAACCCAGGGAAAAACCAAAAAGCCCUUUCAAGCUGCUUUGUCUGGAUGUCGGAGUAUGAAGUCGUGCCUUGAACUUCUGCUGGCGGAUCACGUUUCAGCCUUAUGUGGAGAAGCCGGUUAGAGCCCAGGCAAUACUGGAAUACACCUAAGGCCCAGCUCUUUGGCUUCCUCGGAACCACCUACUGGCUAGCGUGUCUUUGGAGGACUCGCUCCGGGCUGAAUUUCACCCUUUGGGUUUACGUGAUCACACUCCGGGCUUCAACAGCCUUGAAGACUGAGUCUGAACACGACCACGCACUUAAGUAUCCCUGCCUGGAGCUGGCCUCUUCUCCGGCUGUGUUUAAGGCUGCUGGCAAUUCAUGUAACAUUAGUCCCAUCUACCCGUUGGAGUAGGAUGGAUGCGGCUUUGUUCUACAGCAAACACACACAGCUGCCCCGAAUCAUCUGAUCAAGUGUUUAUGCAACAGCACAAUAUUAUGUCAGUCAUUUUUGUUAUCUCUAUUUUUGUUAUUAGUUUCUUGUUGGGUUCUUCCUAAUUAGUAUCCUAAAUAUAUAUAUAUAUAAAAUA